CAAAAAAAAAACAGAACACUAGUAAGAGAGGUGUAGAGACUUUGUUCUUCUACUCUUAGUGGAGUUUCAAAGAGGAUCCAAGAGGGUGGAGUGACUUUAGGGUACAUCAAGAGGAGAGAAGCUUGUGGUCAUUUCAUUAACAUCAAAGAAAACUCUAGAAAAUUUCUACAACAAGAGAUGAUAUUGCAGAUGUUACUGGAAUGGAGUAGCUCAACGAGAGUGCUGGGAAAUAAAACUUGUCUGGGAUUUUCUUUAAGUUGCUAUUUAUCGGCGUGUUUAAUUUUUA
rnacentral:sRNA from 1 species